AGCAGUAGGACAAUAAAACCCAUGACCUCGAGGGGAGGUAGUGGGCGCUCCCAACCCUGGAGGCCUUCAAGAGAAAAUUAGAACUACCCUCUGUUCGAUCUGCUUGGAUUUGGAUUCCUUCACUGAGCAGGGAGUAGGACGCGAUGGCCUUAGAGGCCCUUCCAACUCCCUGAUUCUAUGAUUCUUCUUUUCUACUGUCCAUUUGAAGAAAAUUAUACAAAAGUCUCUUUGUAUACUGUACUUUUCAACCCAUCCUCUUUAGCAAACAAAGAAGACAGUUCUAUGGUUAUAGCGCAGAGGGUGCAGGAAAUCUGUCUGUUUUAAAGCAUUGGUCAGAACAGAGGCAGUUAUACUUCACGCCUCUCUCAAACCCUCUUCUCUUUAAAAUUGUUCAUUCUCACCUUACCUUUUUUCAGGUGAGGAUGUAUUGGCUAUGGAUAUAGGUCCAGCACAUUCAGGGAAUUCUGUUCCAGCAACCCUAAAUUUUCAGUGUUGCACAACUGCAUCUGCAUGUCAUUGAAGGGCCACAGUUUGACUUGGGCUCGGAUCUCAUGUGGAUUGUAAAGGAAUGGCCAGAAUCCUCUUAAUGAGUUAUACCGGUACUAAUGCAAUGGCAUAAACUGCAGUGGUAAAUUUCCCAAAGUUAACAAGUUGCUCCUUGUAUACCUUCUUGAACACCCAUUGGACAAACAGGUGGACAACAAGGUGCAGAAGCCCACAGAAUUGUGGAACGCGGAGGAUGGAUUUAGCCAGCUUUUAAUCUUUAACAAGCCUAUGGUUUUUGAGGGAUGGUGGAUUAUCUUUCUUUUCAGGCCGAAAAGAAUAUCUGCCACUUUGCAUUUCAGGACUUCCUGAUGCUCGAAUCUAAAAAGCAUUUGCAUUUACACCGAGGGAGGCUCAAGUUUAACAAAUUCUGGAUUGGACUAAAGUACGAACGAAGCAUUGGGAAAUGGGUGUGGGUAGAUGGCUCUGUCCUGAAAGUCAAACGGCAACAACAGCAGAAUCACAGUGGCUGCAUGUACCUUCAGAAUGGGGAGUUUCAUUCCCAAGAGUGCAGUCAACCCGCGUUUAUACUUUGCAAGGCAAAGGUCCAACCUGGCUGGAACUGAACAGUUUUGCAAAGUUGAGAGGAGGAGGAGGAGGAGGUGGAGGAGAUCAUCCCCCACAGAGGUCAGCAGCGGGUGACCCUCCACUCUGGCUCCUCCUGAAGACUUUUGGCACCCAUAGAGAAAUCUCUUGCCCAGCUGUUUAAGAGAAGCAUUUUUAUUUCUCGGAACCCACCAAAGGCCUGAGAGACUUGUCUGCAGAUGGUAGCUCCUGGAGAGGGGCAAGGGAACCUCUCAACUAAAAAUCACCAGCAUCCUCGUCAUCUUUAAGGGAUUGUUUUAGCUCUUGAAUAGCAUCCCAAGAUUUCAUAUGUAAGUCAAUAAUUCUACCUGGAGUUGUGCACAGUAAUUACUAAAAGGAACACUUUCCCCAGGACCUCCUUGUCAGAGGGCCUUCUCCGUUCUUGCCCUCCCCUUCAUAAGCAAGGUAAGCCAUAACGGGAGAGUAGCUAUUUCUGGUUGUGGCACCCUACACUGUAAUCCACAGAUAAGCACAGCCACCCAACCCUGCACCACAGAGACGUCUUGGCUGAAGAAAGCUCAUGUAAUUUCCCCCAUGCCUUUAACUUGUGACUUGAGAUUCUUUUUUCUCCUGAGUUUUCGCUCUGUGUUGAGAUUCCAUGUUUUUUGUUUUUUGUUACCGCUUCCAAAAUGGGUUGUGAUUUUAUCACUAUUGCAUUUUUAGUCAUGCUGUGAUAAACGGUGCUAAGGCCACUCUAUCACCUGUCAACAUGAAUAAAGGAUUGUUAUUACUGUAUUUCA
rnacentral:lncRNA from 1 species